UACCAGCACCCCGAGUGGUCGGGACGAUUAUUGGGCCUAAAGCAUCCGUAGCCGGUUCUACAAGUCUUCCGUUAAAUCCACCUGCUCAACAGAUGGGCUGCGGAGGAUACUAUAGAGCUAGGAGGCGGGAGAGGCAAGCGGUACUUAGUGGGUAGGGGUAAAAUCCGUUGAUCCAUUGAAGACCACCAGUGGCGAAGGCGGCUUGCCAGAAUGCGCUCGACGGUGAGGGAUGAAAGCUGGGGGAGCAAACCGG
rnacentral:rRNA from 1 species